GAUGAAGAACGCAGCGAAAUGCGAUACGUAAUGUGAAUUGCAGAAUUCAGUGAAUCAUCGAAUCUUUGAACGCAUAUUGCGCUCUCUGGUAUUCCGGAGAGCAUGCUUGUUUGAGUAUCAGUAAACACCUCAACUUCCAUAUCUUUUUUGAAAUGGGAGUUGGACUUGAGUGAUCCCAACGCUUUUCCUCACCGAAAAGUGGCGGGUUACUUGAAAUGCAGGUGCAGCUGGACUUGUCUCUGAGCUAUAAGCAUAUCUAUUUAGUCUGCCUAAAAAACAGAUUAUUACCUUUGCUGCAGCUAACAUAAAGGAGAUUAGUUCUUGUGCUGACUGAUGCAGGAUUCACAAAGACAGGCUUCGGCCGACUUUGUAAACUCGAUCUCAAAUCAAGUAAGACUACCCGCUGAACUUAAGCAUAUCAAUAAGCGGAGGA
rnacentral:misc_RNA from 1 species